rnacentral:rRNA from 1 species
GACGAACGCUGGCGGCGUGCCUAAUACAUGCAAGUCGAACGGUUUAGUUCCAAGAGGCUUGCCUUUUGGAACUAGACAGUGGCGGACGGGUGAGUAACACGUAGGCAACCUACCUGUCAAACCGGGAUAACCUCGGGAAACCGAAGCUAAACCCGGAUAAGCUCCUUUUUCGCAUGAAGGGGGAGUGAAAAGGUGCGACCUGAUGACAGAUGGGCCUGCGGCGCAUUAGCUAGUAGGUAGGGUAACGGCCUACCUAGGCGAUGAUGCGUAGCCGACCUGAGAGGGCGUACGGCCACACUGGGACUGAGAUACGGCCCAGACUCCUACGGGAGGCAGCAGUAGGGAAGCUUCGGCAAGGGGCGAAAGCCUGACCGAGCAACGCCGCGUGAGUGAGGAAGGCCUUCGGGUUGUAAAACUCUGUUGUUUGGGAAGAAGGGAAAGGGUAGGACCCUUAGGUGACGGUACCAAACGAGAAAGCCCCGGCUAACUACGUG